rnacentral:rRNA from 1 species
GACGAACGCUGGCGGCGUGCUUAACACAUGCAAGUCGAACGAAGAGCGAUGGAAGCUUGCUUCUAUCAAUCUUAGUGGCGAACGGGUGAGUAACGCGUAAUCAACCUGCCCUUCAGAGAGGGACAACAGUUGGAAACGACUGCUAAUACCGCAUACGAUCUAAUCUCGGCAUCGAGGAUAGAUGAAAGGUGGCCUCUACAUGUAAGCUAUCACUGAAGGAGGGGAUUGCGUCUGAUUAGCUAGUUGGAGGGGUAACGGCCCACCAAGGCGAUGAUCAGUAGCCGGUCUGAGAGGAUGAACGGCCACAUUGGGACUGAGACACGGCCCAGACUCCUACGGGAGGCAGCAGUGGGGAAUCUUCCGCGAUGGACGAAAGUCUGACGGAGCAACGCCGCGUGAGUGAUGACGGCCUUCGGGUUGUAAAGCUCUGUUAAUCGGGACGAAAGGCCUUCUUGCGAAUAGUGAGAAGGAUUGACGGUACCGGAAUAGAAAGCCACGGCUAACUACGUG